CCCGCCGGACCUGACUGCUAUCGGAUUGAUACUAAGCCAUGCGAGUCAUUGUAGCAAUACAAGGCAUACGGCUCAGUAACGCGUAGUCAACCUAACCUAUGGACGGGAAUAACCUCGGGAAACUGAGAAUAAUUCCCGAUAGAACAUUAUACCUGGAAUGGUUUAUGUUCCAAAUGAUUUAUCGCCGUAGGAUGGGACUGCGGCCUAUCAGUUUGUUGGUGAGGUAAUGGCCCACCAAGACUAUUACAGGUACGGGCUCUGAGAGGAGUAGCCCGGAGAUGGGUACUGAGACACGGACCCAGGCCCUAUGGGGCGCAGCAGGCGAGAAAACUUUGCAAUGUGCGAAAGCACGACAAGGUUAAUCCGAGUGAUUUGUGCUAAACGAAUCUUUUGUUAGUCCUAGAAACACUAACGAAUAAGGGGUGGGCAAGUUCUGGUGUCAGCCGCCGCGGUAAAACCAGCACCUCAAGUGGUCAGGAUGAUUAUUGGGCCUAAAGCAUCCGUAGCCGGCUCUGUAAGUUUUCGGUUAAAUCUGUACGCUCAACGUACAGGCUGCCGGGAAUACUGCAAAGCUAGGGAGUGGGAGAAGUAGACGGUACUCGGUAGGAAGUGGUAAAAUGCUUUGAUCUAUCGAUGACCACCUGUGGCGAAGGCGGUCUACUAGAACACGUCCGACGGUGAGGGAUGAAAGCUGGGGGAGCAAACCGGAUUAGAUACCCGGGUAGUCCCAGCUGUAAACUAUGCAAACUCAGUGAUGCAUUGGCUUGUGGCCAAUGCAGUGCUGCAGGGAAGCCGUUAAGUUUGCCGCCUGGGAAGUACGUACGCAAGUAUGAAACUUAAAGGAAUUGGCGGGGGAGCACCACAAGGGGUGAAGCCUGCGGUUCAAUUGGAUUCAACGCCGGGCCCGCCGGACCUGACUGCUAUCGGAUUGAUACUAAGCCAUGCGAGUCAUUGUAGCAAUACAAGGCAUACGGCUCAGUAACGCGUAGUCAACCUAACCUAUGGACGGGAAUAACCUCGGGAAACUGAGAAUAAUGCCCGAUAGAACAUUAUGCCUGGAAUGGUUUAUGUUCCAAAUGAUUUAUCGCCGUAGGAUGGGACUGCGGCCUAUCAGUUUGUUGGUGAGGUAAUGGCCCACCAAGACUAUUACAGGUACGGGCUCUGAGAGGAGUAGCCCGGAGAUGGGUACUGAGACACGGACCCAGGCCCUAUGGGGCGCAGCAGGCGAGAAAACUUUGCAAUGUGCGAAAGCACGACAAGGUUAAUCCGAGUGAUUUGUGCUAAACAAAUCUUUUGUUAGUCCUAGAAACACUAACGAAUAAGGGGUGGGCAAGUUCUGGUGUCAGCCGCCGCGGUAAAACCAGCACCUCAAGUGGUCAGGAUGAUUAUUGGGCCUAAAGCAUCCGUAGCCGGCUCUGUAAGUUUUCGGUUAAAUCUGUACGCUCAACGUACAGGCUGCCGGGAAUACUGCAAAGCUAGGGAGUGGGAGAAGUAGACGGUACUCGGUAGGAAGUGGUAAAAUGCUUUGAUCUAUCGAUGACCACCUGUGGCGAAGGCGGUCUACUAGAACACGUCCGACGGUGAGGGAUGAAAGCUGGGGGAGCAAACCGGAUUAGAUACCCGGGUAGUCCCAGCUGUAAACUAUGCAAACUCAGUGAUGCAUUGGCUUGUGGCCAAUGCAGUGCUGCAGGGAAGCCGUUAAGUUUGCCGCCUGGGAAGUACGUACGCAAGUAUGAAACUUAAAGGAAUUGGCGGGGGAGCACCACAAGGGGUGAAGCCUGCGGUUCAAUUGGAUUCAACGCCGGG
rnacentral:rRNA from 1 species